rnacentral:lncRNA from 1 species
GCAGUGCUGUAACGUUUGCAGCAUGUGUUUCUAUGGAAGUCAUCUUUCUUACUUUCUUUUAUCCAGGCAUCAAAAGAAAAACAAAAAGAAGAAGGCGAAGACUGGAGCACACACACAAUGGUUUUCCCUGUCAUCUUUGCCAAAGAAAAGAAGAAAGGAAACAAACACCAUUGCAUCAGCUUCACAAGCAGGCACGCGGGGCAGGACAGCCAAAUGUUGGUCGGCUUUUUCUGUUUAAGCACCAUCUGGAAGUCGCUGCGAAACGCGAUGCGCCCAGGGAGGUUCUGCGGAAAGGGACUGGAGAGAAUGACACACCACGAGAUCCCCUUUUCCCAGGAAGUAAAUAGACGCUGCUCUGCAGCUGGCCAAAGCGCGGAGAGGAGGAGGUUCCCGCCGGGUCAAGCACAGCUGCGGAGCCAUGGAUUGCAGGGAAGCUCUCCUUGUUCUACAUCAUGGGAGGAGCAAGAAUUCGGUCUUUUAGGAUCAGGUGAAGGGUUAAUGGGGCUCCCUUGCUUUCAGCUGAGAUGUUAAUAUAAAGGCUUAUCUACACAUGAAAGCAUUUUCUUAUUAAGGCAAAAUAGCUCCACGGGGCAGCAGAGGAGCAAGCAUCCUUCUGACGAAGAUGGUGGCGCCUGGACCUGCUGGUCCAAGAACAGCAUGGAGCAAUGGGUGAAACAAAAACAGCCCCUGAACUAAGCCUUACCUGCCAGCUUAGGGCAAGAGACUUCUCAUGGGAUGGGAAAAUGGAGGAGAGAGCAGUCACCAAAGCCACCGAGCAGGUGCCUGCACUGUGCCGGGCGCUGCACGUUCCUGAGAAGCCGGGGCGAGUGCGAUCGGCUGGUUGAUGGACACAAUCAGGGCUUCAGCUGAAUUCGGUGAUGCCCAAGCCUUUUGCCCAAAGAUUAAUCUUAUUUUCUAGCAAUUUAAUGUCAGGAGGAUAACACAGGAAAUGUGCUUCACCUAUGACUGCCCACAAGCCUCUCACAUUUUCAGGCAGUAAAUGGAUUCACCUCCUUCUCUUCCUCUGCCUUGCCAUUAUUGAUUCUCAUUGUUUUGCUAAAUAUAGCUCAGCUUUGUGUAGC